CUGAAGUUCAUUGGGAAGGAGCCAUAUUUGGAAUGACAUCUGCUGUUUUAUUGAAAAGUCAGAGUAAUAAAUUAUAACUACUAUUUAUCGAGGGCAUAUUAGGUACCAAGCUGUGUGGGACUUAGAGACCUUGAGGAAGACCCCCGCCACCCCAGCCCACCACUGUAAGCUUGGAAGGAGGUCAUGUGCCAGGAAAUGUGGACAGCCCCUAGAAACUGAGAAUGAGCCCUAGUCGACAGCCAGCAGGGCACCAGGGACCUGAGUUCUACAACUGCAAUGGGCUGGAUCCUGCCAAUAACCUGUAUGAACUUGAAAGAAAUGCAGCCCUGCUAAUGCCUUGAUUUUGGCCUUAAGCUAUUGGGAGCAGAGAACCACCUGAACCAUGCUGUAAUAAGACUUCUUAUCUACACAUCUAUGAAAUAAUAAAUACGUCAUCUUAAGAUGCUCUAUUUGUGGUAAUUUGUGACAGCAGCUAUAGAAAACUAAUAAAAUGAAUACAGGCA
rnacentral:lncRNA from 1 species